UGUUCCGCUUGGUGCGAUUGUCAGUAUUUAUGCCGCUAGUGGCGGCGGGGAGCUGGGUUGGAGUUCCGUGUUAGGUGCCAGCUUAAUCGGUGCGG
rnacentral:tRNA from 1 species